rnacentral:rRNA from 1 species
GCAAGUCGAGCGCUCUCUUCGGAGGGAGCGGCGGACGGGUGAGUAACGCGUGGGAAUAUGCCCUUUGGUACGGAACAACAGUUGGAAACGACUGCUAAUACCGUAUGUGCCCUACGGGGGAAAGAUUUAUCGCCAAAGGAUUAGCCCGCGUUAGAUUAGGUAGUUGGUGGGGUAAUGGCCUACCAAGUCUACGAUCUAUAGCUGGUUUGAGAGGAUGAUC